UUCCAAGCGAGAUGGUUGGGCGGGCUGUCCUCAAGAAAUUCACACGAAUCAUAAAUCUGGAUCCAUCUACUCAGAAUACCAUCAAAUAUAUAAAGUAUCUUGUCACCCAACUGCUUGACAAUGAACUUUCCUAAUGCAGGCCUCCAGGGAUAUAUUUACUGUGGUGCCUGAGCGUGACAGAAGAGGGCAGCAGAUCCCCUGGAGCUGGAAUUAACAGUAGUUUGGGAGCUGAGUAAUAUGGAUGCCGGGAACAAAUUCAAUUCUUCUGCAAGAGCAGCAAAAGCUCAUA